rnacentral:rRNA from 1 species
UACAGAGGGUGCGAGCGUUGUCCGGAAUCACUGGGCGCAAAGGGCGCGUAGGCGGCUGGGUAAGCGUGUGGUGAAAGCCCGGGGCUCAACCCCGGGUCGGCCAUGCGAACUGUCCAGCUGGAGCACGGUAGAGGCACAUGGAAUUCCGGGUGUAGCGGUGGAAUGCGUAGAGAUCCGGAAGAACACCGGUGGCGAAGGCGGUGUGCUGGGCCGUAGCUGACGCUGAGGCGCGAAAGCGUGGGGAGCAAACAGG